UACGUAGGGAGCGAGCGUUGUCCGGAUUUAUUGGGCGUAAAGAGCUCGUAGGCGGUUUGGUAAGUCGGGUGUGAAAGCUCCGGGCUCAACUCGGAGAGGUCACUCGAUACUGCCAUGACUGGAGUCCGGUAGGGGGGUGUGGAAUUCCCAGUGUAGCGGUGAAAUGCGCAGAUAUUGGGAGGAACACCAAUGGCGAAGGCAGCACCCUCGGGCCGGUACUGACGCUGAGGAGCGAAAGCGUGGGGAGCAAACAGG
rnacentral:rRNA from 1 species